UGAGGAAUAUUGGUCAAUGGACGAGAGUCUGAACCAGCCAAGUAGCGUGAAGGAUGACUGCCCUAUGGGUUGUAAACUUCUUUUAUACGGGAAUAAAGUGAGGUACGUGUGCCUUUUUGUAUGUACCGUAUGAAUAAGGAUCGGCUAACUCCGUGCCAGCAGCCGCGGUAAUACGGAGGAUCCGAGCGUUAUCCGGAUUUAUUGGGUUUAAAGGGAGCGUAGGCGGACGCUUAAGUCAGUUGUGAAAGUUUGCGGCUCAACCGUAAAAUUGCAGUUGAUACUGGGUGUCUUGAGUACAGUAGAGGCAGGCGGAAUUCGUGGUGUAGCGGUGAAAUGCUUAGAUAUCACGAAGAACUCCGAUUGCGAAGGCAGCCUGCUGGACUGUAACUGACGCUGAUGCUCGAAAGUGUGGGUAUCAAACAGGAUUAGAUACCCUGGUAGUCCACACAGUAAACGAUGAAUACUCGCUGUUUGCGAUAUACAGUAAGCGGCCAAGCGAAAGCGUUAAGUAUUCCACCUGGGGAGUACGCCGGCAACGGUGAAACUCAAAGGAAUUGACGGGGGCCCGCACAAGCGGAGGAACAUGUGGUUUAAUUCGAUGAUACGCGAGGAACCUUACCCGGGCUUGAAUUGCAACUGAAUGAUGUGGAGACAUGUCAGCCGCAAGGCAGUUGUGAAGGUGCUGCAUGGUUGUCGUCAGCUCGUGCCGUGAGGUGUCGGCUUAAGUGCCAUAACGAGCGCAACCCUUAUCGAUAGUUACCAUCAGGUUAUGCUGGGGACUCUGUCGAGACUGCCGUCGUAAGAUGUGAGGAAGGUGGGGAUGACGUCAAAUCAGCACGGCCCUUACGUCCGGGGCUACACACGUGUUACAAUGGGGGGUACAGAAGGCAGCUACACGGCGACGUGAUGCUAAUCCCGAAAGCCUCUCUCAGUUCGGAUUGGAGUCCGCAACCCGACUCCAUGAAGCUGGAUUCGCUAGUAAUCGCGCAUCAGCCACGGCGCGGUGAAUACGUUCCC
rnacentral:rRNA from 1 species